rnacentral:rRNA from 1 species
AGUAACGCGUGGAUAACCUGCCUCACACAGGGGAUAACAGUUAGAAAUGACUGCUAAUACCGCAUAAGCGCACAGUACCGCAUGGUACGGUGUGAAAAACUCCGGUGGUAUGAGAUGGACCCGCGUCUGAUUAGCUAGUUGGUGAGGUAACGGCCCACCAAGGCGACGAUCAGUAGCCGACCUGAGAGGGUGACCGGCCACAUUGGGACUGAGACACGGCCCAG